UACAGAGGUCUCAAGCGUUGUUCGGAUUCAUUGGGCGUAAAGGGUGCGUAGGCGGCGUGGUAAGUCGGGUGUGAAAUCUCGGAGCUUAACUCCGAAACUGCAUUCGAUACUGCCGUGCUUGAGGACUGGAGAGGAGACUGGAAUUUACGGUGUAGCGGUGAAAUGCGUAGAUAUCGUAAGGAAGACCAGUGGCGAAGGCGGGUCUCUGGGCAGUUCCUGACGCUGAGGCACGAAGGCCAGGGGAGCAAACGGG
rnacentral:rRNA from 1 species